ACUCCUACGGGAGGCAGCAGUGGGAAUAUUGGACAAUGGGGGCAACCCUGAUCCAGCAAUGCCGCGUGUGUGAAGAAGGCCUGCGGGUUGUAAAGCACUUUCGUUGGGGAGGAUGGUGCGCAGUUCAAAUAGGGCUGCGUAUUGACGUUACCCAAAGAAGAAGCACCGGCUAACUCUGUGCCAGCAGCCGCGGUAAUACAGAGGGUGCAAGCGUUAAUCGGACUGACUGGGCGUAAAGGGCGUGUAGGCGGCCCGUUAAGUCGGGUGUGAAAUGGCAGGGCUUAACCUUGUCAGGUCACUCGAGACUGGCGAGCUAGAGAGCAGGAGAGGAAAGGGGAAUUUCCGGUGUAGCGGUGAAAUGCGUAGAUAUCGGAAGGAACACCAGUGGCGAAGGCGCCUUUCUGGCCUACCUCUGACGCUGAGGCGCGAAAGCGUGGGUAGCAAACAGGAUUAGAUACCCUGGUAGGCUCUG
rnacentral:rRNA from 1 species